CCAAGUAUUGAAGAGAGCUGUCAAGUACAAUUCCAGAGCGGAGAUCUGCCAGUUAGAGCAGGAGACCCCUCUUUCUAGUUUCAAGUUACACUUGUUGGGAGUAUGGGGCAGAGAACCCAGGAGUACCACUUUGAACUUGACUCUUCAUUGGCCCAGGCUUCCAGUCGUCCACAGACGUGCCAAGAAACCUGGACAGGGCAAAAGCAAGCAUUUUAGCGCCCAGUCCGGAGUGCAAUUCCAGGCACGUGAAAGGCUUGGGGACAGCUGUCUCCUUGGCCCCUUCUCCUUCCGCAGCCCCGCAGGGAGCGGGGUAGCCACUCUGUCGGGGGCACCAACACUCAGCAGCACCGCUCGAGGAGUCCUGACCAGCACGCCCUCUCAAACCUGCCGAGAACUGAACCAGGACAGAAGAGGGGGUGCAGCCUGAGCGUCCCUUCGGGGGCUCAUUUCAGUGCCUAGAGAAACUUUGCGAGCGAGAAGCACGACGUGCGGGGCGCCAGCCCGGGAGGGCAAAGGCAGAUGCCGUCAGACUCUUGGACGCCCCGUCGGCUGCUGGGGUCCUCCCUGACCUGCAGUUCCAGCUGCGAGAGAACCAAAGUUCUACAGGAAAGGGAGACCCAAGAUUUGACUCUCCCCUGCAACACCUCCAAACUCAGCAGGAACAGAGAAUGAGUCUAAAGGCUCUUGGCAUCUUGGGGCGCCUGGGUGGCUCAGUCGGUUAAGCAUCUGCCUUCGGCUCAGGUCAGGAUCCCAGGGUCCUGGG